UACAGAGAGUGCGAACGUUGUUCGGAAUUACUGGGCUUAAAGCGCACGUAGGCGGCAUCGUAAGUGUCAGGUGAAAUCCCACGGCUCACCCGUGGAACUGCCCGGCAGACUGCGAUGCUCGAGUGUGGUAGGGGAGAACGGAACUCCUGGUGGAGCGGUGAAAUGCGUAGAUAUCAGGAGGAACACCGGUGGCGAAGGCGGUUCUCUGGUCCACAACUGACGCUGAGGUGCGAAAGCUAGGGGAGCAAACGGG
rnacentral:rRNA from 1 species